GAUGAACGCUAGCGGCAGGCUUAAUACAUGCAAGUCAAGGGGGUAGCAAUACAACCGGCGCACGGGUGAGUAACGCGUACACAACAUACCAUAUACUGGGGUAUAGCUUCGGGAAACUGAAGGUAACUCCCCCAUAAUAUUGCGGGAAGGCAUCUUUCUGCAAUUAAAGUUUCGACGGUAUAUGAUUGGUGUGCGUUUGAUUAGCUAGUUGGUAGGGUAACGGCCUACCAAGGCGACGAUCAAUAGCUGGCGUGAGAGCGCGACCAGCCACACUGGAACUGAGACACGGUCCAGACUCCUACGGGAGGCAGCAGUAGGGAAUAUUGGACAAUGGGCGAAAGCCUGAUCCAGCCAUGCCGCGUGAUAGAUGAACGGCCCUCUGGGUUAGUAAAUAUUCUUUUAUCGUGGGAAGAAACUCCUCUAUUCUUAGAGGCCUGACGGUACCAGAGGAAUAAGCACCGGCUAACUCCGUGCCAGCAGCCGCGGUAAAGUC
rnacentral:rRNA from 1 species